AACAGGGAUUGCCCUAGUAACGGCGAGUGAAGCGGCAACAGCUCAAAUUUGAAAUCUGGCCUCGGCCCGAGUUGUAAUUUGCAGAGGAUGUUUCUGGCGCGGUGCCUUCCGAGUUCCCUGGAACGGGACGCCACAGAGGGUGAGAGCCCCGUAUGGUUGGACACCAAGCCUGUGUGAAACUCCUUCGACGAGUCGAGUAGUUUGGGAAUGCUGCUCAAAAUGGGAGGUAAAUCUCUUCUAAGGCUAAAUACCGGCCAGAGACCGAUAGCGCACAAGUAGAGUGAUCGAAAGAUGAAAAGCACCUUGAAAAGGGGGUUAAACAGUACGUGAAAUUGUUGAAAGGGAAGCGCUUGUGACCAGACUUGCGCCGGGCGGUUCAUCCGGGGUUCUCCCCGGUGCACUCCGCCCGGCUCAGGCCAGCAUCGGUUCUCGUUGGGGGAUAAGAACGACAGGAACGUGGCCCUCCUUCGGGUGGGUGUUAUAGCCUGUCGUACGAUACCCUGACGGGGACCGAGGUUCGCGCUCCGCAAGGAUGCUGGCGUAAUGGUCAUCAGCGACCCGUCUUGAAACACGGACCAAGGAGUCGUCCAUUAGAGCGAGCGUUUGGGUGUCAAACCCGCACGCGUAAUGAAAGUGAAAUUAGGUGAGAGCUUCGGCGCAUCAUCGACCGAUCCUGAUGUUCUCGGAUGGAUUUGAGUAAGAGUUUUAACGGACGGACCCGAAAGACAGUGAACUAUGCUUGUAUAGGGUGAAGCCAGAGGAAACUCUGGUGGAGGCUCGCAGCGGUUCUGACGUGCAAAUCGAUCGUCAAAUAUGAGCAUGGGGGCGAAAGACUAAUCGAACUGUCUAGUAGCUGGUUACCGCCGAAGUUUCCCUCAGGAUAGCAGUGUUGACCUUCAGUUUUAUGAGGUAAAGCGAAUGAUUAGGGACUCGGGGGCGCUUUUUAGCCUUCAUCCAUUCUCAAACUUUAAAUAUGUAAGAAGCCCUUGUUACUUAGUUGAACGUGGGCAUUCGAAUGUAUCAACACUAGUGGGCCAUUUUUGGUAAGCAGAACUGGCGAUGCGGGAUGAACCGAACGCGGGGUUAAGGCGCCAGAGUGUACGCUCAUCAGACACCACAAAAGGCGUUAGUACAUCUUGACAGCAGGACGGUGGCCAUGGAAGUCGGAAUCCGCUAAGGACUGUGUAACAACUCACCUGCCGAAUGUACUAGCCCUGAAAAUGGAUGGCGCUCAAGCGUACCGCCCAUACCCCGCCCUCAGGGUAGAAACGAUGCCCUGAGGAGUAGGCGGCCGUGGAGGUCAGUGACGAAGCCUAGGGC
rnacentral:rRNA from 1 species